rnacentral:snoRNA from 10 species
AUCCUUUUAGCUCAUAGCAUGAUGAUUGGCAUCAUGCACACAUGUGAGAUGUGUCACCUCCAACCUGUUACGUUAGCACAUUAUCCAUCUGACA